CCUACGGGUGGCAGCAGUGGGGAAUAUUGGUCAAUGGGCGCAAGCCUGACCCAGCAACGCCGCGUGAAGGAAGAAGGCUUUCGGGUUGUAAACUUCUUUUAAGGGGGAAGAGCAGAAGACGGUGCCCCUUGAAUAAGCCACGGCUAACUACGUGCCAGUAGCCGCGGUCAUACGUAGGGGGCAAGCGUUGUCCGGAUUUACUGGGUGUAAAGGGCGCGCAGCCGGAGAGACAAGUCAGAUGUGAAAUCCACGGGCUCAACCCUUGAACUGCAUUUGAAACUGUUUCCCUUGAGUGUAGGAGAGGUAAUCGGAAUUCGUGGUGUAGCGGUGAAAUGCGUAGAUAUAAGGAAGAACACC
rnacentral:rRNA from 1 species